rnacentral:rRNA from 1 species
UACGGGGGGGGCAAGCGUUGUUCGGAAUUACUGGGCGUAAAGGGCUCGUAGGCGGCCAACUAAGUCGGACGUGAAAUCCCCAGGCUCAACCUGGGAACUGCGUCCGAUACUGGAUGGCUUGAAUCCGGGAGAGGGAUGCAGAAUUCCAGGUGUAGCGGUGAAAUGCGUAGAUAUCUGGAGGAAUACCGGUGGCGAAGGCGGCAUCCUGGACCAUAACUGACGCUGAGGCGCGAAAGCUAGGGGAGCGAACAGG